rnacentral:rRNA from 1 species
CCUACGGGUGGCUGCAGUGGGGAAUAUUGGACAAUGGGGGGAACCCUGAUCCAGCCAUGCCGCGUGUGUGAAGAAGGCCCUCGGGUUGUAAAGCACUUUCAGUGAGGAAGAACGCCUGGUGGUUAAUACCCAUCAGGAAAGUCAUCACUCACAGAAGAAGCACCGGCUAACUCCGUGCCAGCAGCCGCGGUAAUACGGAGGGUGCGAGCGUUAAUCGGAAUUACUGGGCGUAAAGCGCGCGUAGGUGGCUUGAUAAGCCGGUUGUGAAAGCCCCGGGCUCAACCUGGGAACGGCAUCCGGAACUGUCAAGCUAGAGUGCAGGAGAGGAAGGUAGAAUUCCCGGUGUAGCGGUGAAAUGCGUAGAGAUCGGGAGGAAUACCAGUGGCGAAGGCGGCCUUCUGGACUGACACUGACACUGAGGUGCGAAAGCGUGGGUAGCAAACAGGAUUAGAUACCCUUGUAGUC